UGGGUAGGGGAGCAUUGUAUACGGGCUGAAGCUGUACCGUAAGGAGCAGUGGACUGUAUACAAGAGAGAAUGUUGGCAUAAGUAGCGAGAGGUAGGUGAGAAUCCUACCCGCCGAAAACCUAAGGUUUCCUGAGGAAGGCUCGUCCGCUCAGGGUAAGUCGGGACCUAAGCCGAGGACGAAAGUCGUAGGCGAUGGACAACAGGUGAAGAUUCCUGUACCACCUCUUUAUCGUUUGAGGGAUGGGGGGACGCAGGAGGAUAGGCAAAGCCCACGGUUGGUAGAGUGGGUCCAAGCCCGUAGGGAGUAGAGAUAGGCAAAUCCGUCUCUACAAUCCUAAAAGGUGAUGGGGAGCGAAAAAUAAGUAGCGAACUUGCUGAUUCCACACUGACAAGAAAAGCCUCUACCGAGAUAAAAGGUGCCCGUACCGCAAACCGACACAGGUAGGUGAGGAGAGAAUCCUAAGGCGAGCGAGAUAACUGCUGUUAAGGAACUCGGCAAAAUGACCCCGUAACUUAGGGAGAAGGGGUGCCACGUUAGGGUUAAUAGCCCGAGGUGGCCGCAGAGAAUAGGCCCAAGCGACUGUUUAGCAAAAACACAGGUCUCUGCUAAAUCGAAAGAUGAUGUAUAGGGGCUGACGCCUGCCCGGUGCUGGAAGGUUAAGAGGAGUAGUUAGCGUAUGCGAAGCUGUGAAUCGAAGCCCCAGUAAACGGCGGCCGUAACUAUAACGGUCCUAAGGUAGCGAAAUUCCUUGUCGGGUAAGUUCCGACCCGCACGAAAGGCGUAACGAUUUGGGCACUGUCUCAACAGCAGACUCGGUGAAAUUGUAGUACCGGUAAAGAUGCCGGUUACCCGCAGCAGGACGGAAAGACCCCGUGGAGCUUUACUGUAGCUUGGCACUGGAUUUUGGUAUUGCAUGUACAGGAUAGGUGGGAGACUUAGAAGCGAGGACGCAAGUCUUGGUGGAGUCGUUGUUGGGAUACCACUCUUGUAAUACUGAAAUUCUAACCAGAGACCGUUAUCCGGUCUUGGGACACUGUCAGGUGGGCAGUUUGACUGGGGCGGUCGCCUCCCAAAAAGUAACGGAGGCGCCCAAAGGUUCCCUCAGCGCGGUUGGAAAUCGCGCGAAGAGUGCAAAGGCAGAAGGGAGCUUGAUUGCGAGACAUACAGGUCGAGCAAGGACGAAAGUCGGGCUUAGUGAUCCGGUGGUUCCGAGUGGAAGGGCCAUCGCUCAACGGAU
rnacentral:rRNA from 1 species